UUUGCGUCGAAGGUAUACCGGUAAGGAGUGCUGGAGCGAAUAGAAGUGAGCAUGCAGGCAUGAGUAGCGAUAAUUAAUGUGAGAAUCAUUAACGCCGUAAACCCAAGGUUUCCUACGCGAUGCUCGUCAUCGUAGGGUUAGUCGGGUCCUAAGUCGAGUCCGAAAGGGGUAGACGAUGGCAAAUUGGUUAAUAUUCCAAUACCAACAUUAGUGUGCGAUGGAAGGACGCUUAGGGCUAAGGGGGCUAGCGGAUGGAAGUGCUAGUCUAAGGUCGUAGGAGGUUAUACAGGCAAAUCCGUAUAACAAUACUCCGAGAACUGAAAGGCUUUUUGAAGUCUUCGGAUGGAUAGAAGAACCCCUGAUGCCGUCGAGCCAAGAAAAGUUUCUAAGUUUAGCUAAUGUUGCCCGUACCGUAAACCGACACAGGUGGGUGGGAUGAGUAUUCUAAGGCGCGUGGAAGAACUCUCUUUAAGGAACUCUGCAAAAUAGCACCGUAUCUUCGGUAUAAGGUGUGGUUCGCUUCGUAUUAGGAUUUACUCCGAAAGCGAAGAAACUUACAACAAAGAGUCCCUCCCGACUGUUUACCAAAAACACAGCACUCUGCUAACUCGUAAGAGGAUGUAUAGGGUGUGACGCCUGCCCGGUGCUCGAAGGUUAAUUGAUGGGGUUAGCAUUAGCGAAGCUCUUGAUCGAAGCCCGAGUAAACGGCGGCCGUAACUAUAACGGUCCUAAGGUAGCGAAAUUCCUUGUCGGUUAAAUACCGACCUGCAUGAAUGGCGUAACGAGAUGGGAGCUGUCUCAAAGAGGGAUCCAGUGAAAUUGUAGUGGAGGUGAAAAUUCCUCCUACCCGCGGCAAGACGGAAAGACCCCGUGGACCUUUACUACAGCUUGACACUGCUAUUUGGAUAAGAAUGUGCAGGAUAGGUGGGAGGCUUUGAGUAUAUGACGCCAGUUGUAUAUGAGCCAUUGUUGAGAUACCACUCUUUCUUAUUUGGGUAGCUAACCAGCUUGAGUUAUCCUCAAGUGGGACAAUGUCUGGUGGGUAGUUUGACUGGGGCGGUCGCCUCCCAAAUAAUAACGGAGGCUUACAAAGGUUGGCUCAGAACGGUUGGAAAUCGUUCGUAGAGUAUAAAGGUAUAAGCCAGCUUAACUGCAAGACAUACAAGUCAAGCAGAGACGAAAGUCGGUCUUAGUGAUCCGGUGGUUCUGUGUGGAAGGGCCAUCGCUCAAAGGAUAAAAGGUACCCCGGGGAUAACAGGCUGAUCUCCCCCAAGAGCUCACAUCGACGGGGAGGUUUGGCACCUCGAUGUCGGCUCAUCGCAUCCUGGGGCUGGAGCAAGUCCCAAGGGUAUGGCUGUUCGCCAUUUAAAGCGGUACGCGAGCUGGGUUCAGAACGUCGUGAGACAGUUCGGUCCCUAUCUGCCGUGGGCGUAAGAAGAUUGAAGAGAUUUGACCCUAGUACGAGAGGACCGGGUUGAACAAACCACUGGUGUAGCUGUUGUUCUGCCAAGAGCAUCGCAGCGUAGCUAAGUUUGGAAAGGAUAAACGCUGAAAGCAUCUAAGCGUGAAGCCAACUCUAAGAUGAAUCUUCUCUAAGCUCUCUAGAAGACUACUAGUUUGAUAGGCUGGGUGUGUAAUGGAUGAAAGUCCUUUAGCUGACCAGUACUAAUAGAGCGUUUGGCUUAUCUUU
rnacentral:rRNA from 1 species